GCAGGAAAAACCUGCUGAACUCAGUGAACCUUUGACUCGCUGUCGUGUUUCUGCUGUUUGAGACGACAAUUAUGUGAAAGACAACAAGCUCAUGUUUGAAUUUAAUGACAUCUGUAUUGUAAAUAUUUCCCUCUCACAUCAUUUCCCCCUCUCUUCCUGUCUGUAUCCCCUUCAGUGUAAAAGCCUGGCAGUAGCAGCUGGUUGCCAGUAGGAGGUGUGAUGUUCCACCAAAGGACAACAUGUUUGUAGCGCUGCCGCCUCCGGGGGAGCUGUCCGGUCCCGCGUGGUGCUGAAACUGUCCAGGAUCCAUCAGCACGUGCAGGUCGUUACUCCCUCCAAUGGAUGCGAGGCGGGAGAAGAACACCUGGAAUGACAUCACGGGAAAGGUCAGUGACGUCACAUGCACACGCACCGACUUUAUCAGUCUGAGGCUACAGAAGACAAACACAUCCAAGACUGAAGCCACAGAGGCAGCGUCAGUGUGCUGUGAGCUGUGCUGGAAGAGGUAUUCAGAUCCUUUACUGAGGUAAAAGUACUACCACCACCCUGCGAAAAAAAACAUAAAAAAAACUACAAUUAUAAAAAAAUCGAAAAAAAACCUCA